GGGAUGGCAGGUAGCCUGUUGUGCACUUUUGUGCCUCCAGGUGUAAUAGCUGACUGCAUCGGUUCUGUGCGGUACGUCGGAGACGGCGGCUUGUUGUGUGUGCAGGCGUGCUGUUGUGCUGACGGCUUCGAGUCUGGUUGCCUUGUUGCUUGUGAACGCAGGCCGGGUGAUGGCUUGUUGCUGUUCAGUGCGCAGUUGCGUUUGUGACACUAUGACAGGGCCAACAGUCUGUGGUGUAGUGGUAGACUAUCCACCUGACCCGUCUUGAAACACGGACCAAGGAGAGUAACAUGUGCGCGAGUCAUUGGGCGUUACGAAACCCAAAGGCGCAGUGAAAGUAAAGGUUCGGCUUGUCCGAGCUGAGGUGAGAUCCUGUCGUUUCUCACGCGUGGUACUACCAAGCAUCGAGCGGCAGGCGCAUCACCGGCCCGUCCCAUGGCGUGGCAGCCUCGUGCCAGCCUAUCGCCGGGGCGGAGCAUGAGCGUACAUGUUGAGACCCGAAAGAUGGUGAACUAUGCUUGCGCAGGUUGAAGCCAGAGGAAACUCUGGUGGAGGACAGCAGCGAUUCUGACGUGCAAAUCGAUCGUCAAACGUGAGUAUAGGGGCGAAAGACUAAUCG
rnacentral:rRNA from 1 species